rnacentral:rRNA from 1 species
UACGGAGGGGGCGAGCGUUGUCCGGAAUCAUUGGGCGUAAAGGGCGCGUAGGUGGCCACUUCAAGCGUGCGGUGAAAGUCGGGGGCUCAACCCCUGAUCGGCCGUGCGAACUGGGGGGCUGGAGCACUGUAGAGGCAGGCGGAAUUCCGGGUGUAGCGGUGGAAUGCGUAGAGAUCCGGAAGAACACCGGUGGCGAAGGCGGCCUGCUGGGCAGUUUUGCUGACACUGAGGCGCGACAGCGUGGGGAGCAAACAGG